GCUGUAAUCAGAUAGCUGAGGGAGGAGAACACACCUGGACUUCAUUCAUGUGAUCAAACAGGAGACAGUCAGGAAUCGUUCAUUACACUAAAGCUAUAGCGCGUAGUUUCUGUCGCCCCCAUGAGGAAUUCUACAUGAUCCAAGCAUUUGGUGAUCGCGCACAACCCCCCACCCCCUCCUCCACACGGUUGCUAGUAGAGUUUAUCCCGUCAAAUCAAGGACGAUAAUGAACUCUUCAGAAGAGCACCAUGGUGGGUACAUGGUGAACCAGUGAUGCUGGAUGAGGCAUGGUGGUCAGCUGUGGUGGGUGAGGAGGAGGUGAGUGAGUUGUGUGAGCAGCGUG